UACGAAGGGGGCUAGCGUUGCUCGGAAUUACUGGGCGUAAAGCGCACGUAGGCGGCUUGUUAAGUCAGGGGUGAAAUCCUGGAGCUCAACUCCAGAACUGCCUUUGAUACUGGCGAGCUUGAGUUCGGGAGAGGUGAGUGGAACUGCGAGUGUAGAGGUGAAAUUCGUAGAUAUCUGCAGGAACACCCGUGGCGAAAGCGGCGCGCUGGACCGCUACUGACGCUGAGGAACGAAAGCUAGGGGAGCAAACAGG
rnacentral:rRNA from 1 species